CUGGGGGCUUGAGGAUGUGAGGGGCUUUAGACUACAUAUUGGGUACAGUGUACACUGCUCAGAUGAUGGGUAUACCAGAAUCUCAGAGAUCACCCCUAUAGA